rnacentral:rRNA from 1 species
UAAGCAUAUCAAUAAGCGGAGGAAAAGAAACCAACAGGGAUUGCCCUAGUAACGGCGAGUGAAGCGGCAACAGCUCAAAUUUGAAAUCUGGCUCUCGGGCCCGAGUUGUAAUUUGUAGAGGAUACUUUUGAUGCGGUGCCUUCCGAGUUCCCUGGAACGGGACGCCAUAGAGGGUGAGAGCCCCGUCUGGUUGGAUGCCAAAUCUCUGUAAAGUUCCUUCAACGAGUCGAGUAGUUUGGGAAUGCUGCUCUAAAUGGGAGGUAUAUGUCUUCUAAAGCUAAAUACCGGCCAGAGACCGAUAGCGCACAAGUAGAGUGAUCGAAAGAUGAAAAGCACUUUGAAAAGAGAGUUAAAAAGUACGUGAAAUUGUUGAAAGGGAAGCGUUUAUGACCAGACUUGGGCUUGGUUAAUCAUCUGGGGUUCUCCCCAGUGCACUUUUCCAGUCCAGGCCAGCAUCAGUUUUCCCCGGGGGAUAAAGGCGGCGGGAAUGUGGCUCUCUUCGGGGAGUGUUAUAGCCCACCGUGUAAUACCCUGGGGGGGACUGAGGUUCGCGCAUCUGCAAGGAUGCUGGCGUAAUGGUCAUCAACGACCCGUCUUGAAACACGGACCAAGGAGUCGUCUUCGUAUGCGAGUGUUCGGGUGUCAAACCCCUACGCGUAAUGAAAGUGAACGCAGGUGAGAGCUUCGGCGCAUCAUCGACCGAUCCUGAUGUUCUCGGAUGGAUUUGAGUAAGAGCAUACGGGGCCGGACCCGAAAGAAGGUGAACUAUGCCUGUAUAGGGUGAAGCCAGAGGAAACUCUGGUGGAGGCUCGCAGCGGUUCUGACGUGCAAAUCGAUCGUCAAAUAUGGGCAUGGGGGCGAAAGACUAAUCGAACCUUCUAGUAGCUGGUUUCCGCCGAAGUU